CAACGUUUCAGCCCCACUAGAAGGCUUUCCUCAGGAUCACAAAAAAAAUACAUACAUGUAUGUAUUUUUUUGUGAUCCUGAGGAAAGCCUUCUAGUGGGGCUGAAACGUU